rfam:Drosophila melanogaster chromosome X.
AUUCUGGUUGAUCCUGCCAGUAGUUAUAUGCUUGUCUCAAAGAUUAAGCCAUGCAUGUCUAAGUACACACGAAUUAAAAGUGAAACCGCAAAAAGCUCAUUAUAUCAGUUAUGGUUCUUUAGAUCGUUAACAGUUACUUGGAUAACUGUGGUAAUUCUAGAGCUAAUACAUGCAAUUAAAACAUGAACCUUAUGGGACAUGUGCUUUUAUUAGGCUAAAACCAAGCGAUCGCAAGAUCGUUAUAUUGGUUGAACUCUAGAUAACAUGCAGAUCGUAUGGUCUUGUACCGACGACAGAUCUUUCAAAUGUCUGCCCUAUCAACUUUUAAUGGUAGUAUCUAGGACUACCCUGGUUGCAACGGGUAACGGGGAAUCAGGGUUCGAUUCCGGAGAGGGAGCCUGAGAAACGGAUACCACAUCUAAGGAAGGCAGCAGGCGCGUAAAUUACCCACUCCCAGCUCGGGGAGGUAGUGACGAAAAAUAACAAUACAGGACUCAUAUCCGAGGCCCUGUAAUUGGAAUGAGUACACUUUAAAUCCUUUAACAAGGACCAAUUGGAGGGCAAGUCUGGUGCCAGCAGCCGCGGUAAUUCCAGCUCCAAUAGCGUAUAUUAAAGUUGUUGCGGUUAAAACGUUCGUAGUUGAACUUGUGCUUCAUACGGGUAGUACAACUUACAAUUGUGGUUAGUACUGUACCUUUAUGUAUGUAAGCGUAUUACCGGUGGAGUUCUUAUAUGUGAUUAAAUACUUGUAUUUUUUCAUAUGUUCCUCCUAUUUAAAAACCUGCAUUAGUGCUCUUAAACGAGUGUUAUUGUGGGCCGGUACUAUUACUUUGAACAAAUUAGAGUGCUUAAAGCAGGCUUCAAAUGCCUGAAUAUUCUGUGCAUGGGAUAAUGAAAUAAGACCUCUGUUCUGCUUUCAUUGGUUUUCAGAUCAAGAGGUAAUUAUUAAUAGAAGCAGUUUGAGGGCUUAAGACUAACUUAAGCGAAAGCAUUUGCCAAAGAUGUUUUCAUUAAUCAAGAACGAAAGUUAGAGGUUCGACGGCGAUCAGAUACCGCCCUUGUUCUAACCAGAAACGAUGCCAGCUAGCAAUUGGGUGUAGCUACUUUUAUGGCUCUCUCAGUCGCUUCCCGGGAAACCAAAGCUUUUGGGCUCCGGGGGAAGUAUGGUUGCAAAGCUGAAACUUAAAGGAAUUGACGGAAGGGCACCACCAGGAGUGGAGCCUGCGGCUUAAUUUGACUCAACACGGGAAAACUUACCAGGUCCGUGUGUAAGACAGAUUGAUAGCUCUUUCUCGAAUCUAUGGGUGGUGGCGCAUGGCCGUUCUUAGUUCGUGGAGUGAUUUGUCUGGUUAAUUCCGAUAACGAACGAGACUCAAAUAUAUUAAAUAGAUAUCUUCAGGAUUAUGGUGCUGAAGCUUAUGUAGCCUUCAUUCAUGUUGGCAGUAAAAUUCUUAUUGUGUUUGAAUGUGUUUAUGUAAGUGGAGCCGUACCUGUUGGUUUGUCCCAUUAUAAGGACACUAGCUUCUUAAACAGACAAAUUGCGUCUAACAACAAUGAGAUUUAGCAAUAACAGGUCUGUGAUGCCCUUAGAUGUCCUGGGCUGCACGCGCGCUACAAUGAAAGUAUCAACGUGUAUUUACUAGUCCGAGAGGUCCGGGUAAACCGCUGAACCACUUUCAUGCUUGGGAUUGUGAACAUGAACUUGGAAUUCCCAGUAAGUGUGAGUCAUUAACUCGCAUUGAUUACGUCCCUGCCCUUUGUACACACCGCCCGUCGCUACUACCGAUUGAAUUAUUUAGUGAGGUCUCCGGACGUGAUCACUGUGACGCCUUGCGUGUUACGGUUGUUUCGCAAAAGUUGACCGAACUUGAUUAUUUAGAGGAAGUAAAAGUCGUAACAAGGUUUCCGUAGGUGAACCUGCGGAAGGAUCAUUA